AUACGUAGGGGGCUAGCGUUAUCCGGAAUUACUGGGCGUAAAGGGUGCGUAGGUGGUUUCUUAAGUCAGAAGUGAAAGGCUACGGCUCAACCGUAGUAAGCUUUUGAAACUAAGAGACUUGAGUGCAGGAGAGGAGAGUAGAAUUCCUAGUGUAGCGGUGAAAUGCGUAGAUAUUAGGAGGAAUACCAGUUGCGAAGGCGGCUCUCUGGACUGUAACUGACACUGAGGCACGAAAGCGUGGGGAGCAAACAGGAUUAGAUCCCCUGGUAGUCCACGCCGUAAACGAUGAGUACUAGCUGUCGGGGGUUACCCCCCUCGGUGGCGCAGCUAACGCAUUAAGUACUCCGCCUGGGAAGUACGCUCGCAAGAGUGAAACUCAAAUGAAUUGACGGGG
rnacentral:rRNA from 1 species